AUUGAACGCUGGCGGCAGGCCUAACACAUGCAAGUCGAACGGUAACAGGAAGCAGCUUGCUGCUUCGCUGACGAGUGGCGGACGGGUGAGUAAUGUCUGGGAAGCUGCCUGAUGGAGGGGGAUAACUACUGGAAACGGUAGCUAAUACCGCAUAAUGUCGCAAGACCAAAGAGGGGGACCUUCGGGCCUCUUGCCAUCGGAUGUGCCCAGAUGGGAUUAGCUUGUUGGUGGGGUAACGGCUCACCAAGGCGACGAUCCCUAGCUGGUCUGAGAGGAUGACCAGCCACACUGGGACUGAGACACGGUCCAGACUCCUACGGGAGGCAGCAGUGGGGAAUAUUGCACAAUGGGCGCAAGCCUGAUGCAGCCAUGCCGCGUGUAUGAAGAAGGCCUUCGGGUUGUAAAGUACUUUCAGCGGGGAGGAAGGGAGUAAAGUUAAUACCUUUGCUCAUUGACGUUACCCGCAGAAGAAGCGCCGGCUAACUCCGUG
rnacentral:rRNA from 1 species